UGGGGAAUUUUGGACAAUGGGCGAAAGCCUGAUCCAGCAAUGCCGCGUGUGUGAAGAAGGCCUUCGGGUUGUAAAGCACUUUUGUCCGGAAGGAAAUCCUUGGCUCUAAUACAGUCGGGGGAUGACGGUACCGGAGGAAUAAGCACCGGCUAACUACGUGCCAGCAGCCGCGGUAAUACGUAGGGUGCAAGCGUUAAUCGGAAUUACUGGGCGUAAAGCGUGCGCAGGCGGUUUGCUAAGACCGAUGUGAAAUCCCCGGGCUCAACCUGGGAACUGCAUUGGUGACUGGCAGGCUAGAGUAUGGCAGAGGGGGGUAGAAUUCCACGUGUAGCAGUGAAAUGCGUAGAGAUGUGGAGGAAUACCGAUGGCGAAGGCAGCCCCCUGGGCCAAUACUGACGCUCAUGCACGAAAGCGUGGGGAGCAAACAGGAUUAGAUACCCUGGUAGUCCACGCCCUAAACGAUGUCAACUGUUGUUGGGGAUUCAUUCCUUAGUAACGUAGCUAACGCGUGAAGUUGACCGCCUGGGGAGUACGGUCGCAAG
rnacentral:rRNA from 1 species